GUUCUUGUGAAGUCUAUCUUAGGGGUCGGCCCUAAAGUAAAGGAAUCCAUCAAAGAUCCCUUCAAGUAGGAGACUUGGUUGGGAAGCGUUCACAAUAGGCUUCGUGUCAGAGUUAAAGAAAACACGUUGGGGAGGGGAAAUUAGAUCAUUUUCACCCUCCAUCCCCAACGCCUCUCUCUCUCUCUCCAGCCGGCCGCUCUUCUUCACCGGCACCGUCUCCGCACUGGCCACCCUUCUUCACCGACAGUAUGAACGAGUUGUAGCUCUCUCUCUCUCUCUCUCUCUCUCUCUCUCUCUCUCUCUCUCUCUCUCUCUCUCUCUCCCUCUCCCUCCAACCUUUCUUCUUCACCGGCAAGGUCCUUUUCCCCCAACUCAGCUGCAUCUCUCUGAUUGUUCAAUCAGAACUGAUGGAACCAAGAUUUUCCCGUUGUUUGAAGAGCAUGGACAUGUUGGAGAGGUUGCUCUGAUCGAAGAUAAGAGAAUAAAAGAAAGCAAGACGUGUAGGCCUACUAAAAACCAGUUUUUAUCGCCAUGAGCAUUAUUUAGUCGACUCAUAAUGCUCAUGUUGAAGAAGAUAAUGUGGAAAUGGUUUUGGUUAACUUACCAAAACACAUGGUUUUGUAUUAAUUUAUAAAGUU